GUCAGUUGGUCGUGUUGCUGGCAGAUUGGGAGGUAAGUGCUUCCAUGUGCACAUAAAAUUCCAUAGCAAGGAGCUCCAGCAGACAAUUUGUUUGGUCUUAAUGGCAAUGUAUUAGAUCUAGCAUUUUGCUAGACGGCACGUUCUUGGUGUGUGGGACAUGGAGGCACACCAAACUCAAAAUCAAAGGCUUGCCUCUCUAUAGUGAAAACAUGAGUUAAAGCUGAGCUCUGAAACCAGAGGAAAAAAAAGAGGGCAAUGACAGACAUAUACCUCUCCUCUAAGCUCCGGAGGCUCGUUAUGAAUUGUCUUGUUUGCUUCUGCUGGGUGGUUUGAAAAUCUGGGCAAUUUUCUCAGGAGAGAGUUUUUCAGUUUGCUUAAGCUGGGGAAAGGUGAGUAAAGUCGAAAGGUAAUUGCUUCUUGAUGGUAGGACCAGGAGAAUUAGCAAAUACUAGGCUACCAACCAACCUCCCGCCUCUACCUCCCCGCCCCUGCCCUGCCCAAGCUCUUAUCUCCCUGCCCAGCCUCCAACGGUCAGCCUCUCUGUGCAGGGGAAUGUAUUGUCGGAGAAAGCAUCAUCUUGCUCUAUAAAAUCAUUUGUCGUCAACUUUAUUUCAGAGCCUUUAUCGUAAAGCUGUUGUAGCUUUGAACGGCAGCCCCCCGGUUCCAGUGUUCGGGGGUUAUUUGGACUGCCUGGACCUCCAGGAGGACCCUUGGCUUCUGCUUGAAAUGCUCUUUAAUCUUCUGUUCAAAAGGCGUCUCCUCUGGAAAGUCUUCCCUGGUGCUUUGGGUAGAAUUAAGACCAUAUUUCACCUCCUCUAUGUGGAGCUCAUGUCCAGUGCCAAGGCGUCCGAAGACUUAGAUUUCCUGGGCACCGAAACACAGCCAAACCAGUCUUCCCAGGACUUGAUUACUAACAGACUGUCGCCAACAUUGGCCUUUCCUGCUUUGAUCAGUCUUUUGUACCACCUGUCUUUUCUCCCACAAGUCUGCCUAGAUCCUUGGUGCUCGUCUCCUGUGAGGCCAGUGCCUGGGAGGAGGUGGAGAGGCAUUGGCGUAGGGGAAGACUGCGUGAAAUGCUGCCUGCAAGCACCGUGGCCUAGAAGGGAAAUGGGUCUGAUCCAUUAUGCCACUGUUCCAGCCUCAGUAGUGAUUCCAAUUUUUCCAAAAAGAUUCAAAAUAUUCAUAUAAGAAUGUGAAAUAUUGGGUGACAAUAGCCUAUGCAGAUGUAGGAAGGCUGGAUAAAAUACUGAACUCAGUAAACACACACAUGGAAUAGAGAUUUUGCACUAAGGAAGAUAUAAAUCUAGUCAAAGGCAGGGACUAGAACGCUAGCAUUUUUCACAGGUCAUACAGGCUUAUGGUGGCUAUUGUCCACAUGAAGAAAAUGUGGGUAAUAUUUUGUUUUUCUUUCAGAGGAAUAGUGAGCCAGCUCAGACCUGGACCAGCUUUAUAGGAUGAAUGCUAUAGCAACAUGCAAAUGCUAUUUAAUUUAUGCUCACUUUUUGGGUGAAGUUUCUGCAUCUUUUAAAAGGUCUUGGGACUCUUGAUAAAAACAGUAACUCUAGUUAUCCAGAAGACUUUUUUCUUGAUGAGAAAAGAGACUGAAAUGUUCUCUUACAUUGCAUAUUUUAGAAUAACAUGGUUUUUGGUGGCUUCUUGAUUUUGUAAUAGGCUUGGCUUCUAAGCUUUAACUCUGAUCAUUGUCAGAAAAUUUUAGAAGAGCCAAAUUUAAAAUAAGUUUAAACAUUUUUAACUUAUUAAUAUUCAGAAUUGGAAAAAGUUUUCAUCACUGUAAGGUUACAAAUUAAAAAUAGUCUUUCCCCAUCCUUUUUUACCCACACUAACUCCCUUGAGUGUUAUUGCUAAUAAUUUGUUAUUCCUAAGACUGUCAGCUAUUAUUUUUAUUAUCUCUUUCUAUACACUCAAAUAUAUAUGUACACAUGUACAUAUAUACACACAUAGUAGGCAUGGUCACACAUACACUCUCUCUCUUUCAGACACACACAUACACAUAUACUAUUUUUAAACACAUGAGGUUACAUUGUAUAUAUUAUUAAAAAUCUAGAUUUUUUAAAAUUCAACAACAUGCCAUGGGCAUCCUUUCAUGUCAGAAUAUACAAAUAUAAUUGGUUGUGUUUGACGACUGCAUAGUAUUCCUGGUUGGAACAUUUCAUGAUUUAUUUAACCAUUCUCAAAUUGAUGGACAUUCAGCUUGUCUUCUAAAUUUUGCCUUUACUAAAAAUACUACCACGAACAUCACUUGUCCACUUACUCUGGAAUACUUGUACUCGAAUUUCUUCAGGCUGUCUUCCUAGAAGUAGAAUUGCUGGGUCAAAGGUUGAGCAUAUUUAAAAUUGUGAUAGAUACGAAGGACAGAACGUUAGAGACAUGGAACUGCUUCUUUGCCCCUUCUCUCCCCUCAAAAAGGAACAUUCCUUAAUAGAUUGCCAGAGCCAUGCUCCAAGCUAGGGUGUCUGGGGAUAAACUGUUGUCCAAGGGAGAGUCAGCCAGCCAGUUCUCCUGCCUGGUACAAGAAUUUGAAUUUAUAAAUAGAGAAAGAUUGAAUUUGUUAUUACUCAAGCUGUUGGAAAAUAGCUUCCAAAAUAUUAAAAAAGUAAUUUGAUUUGUUUUCCUGGCCCCAUUUCAAAUGGUAUAGUCCUUACAUACCUUGAGAAGAUUGUCUCCGAGUCCGAGUCCCAUAACUCACCUUCCUAUUGGUCAGCUCUGUCUCUUUUUCUUUAUUGCAUCAUUUUUCUCACAUUGAUUCCCUUGUAUUUCAUAAUAAAUAAUGACUUUGCUGACUUACUGCUGGAAGU
rnacentral:lncRNA from 1 species